rnacentral:rRNA from 1 species
UACGUAGGUGGCAAGCGUUGUUCGGAAUUACUGGGCGUAAAGCGCACGUAGGCGGCUUUGUAAGUUAGAGGUGAAAGCCCGGGGCUCAACUCCGGAAUUGCCUUUAAGACUGCAUCGCUAGAAUUGUGGAGAGGUAAGUGGAAUUCCGAGUGUAGAGGUGAAAUUCGUAGAUAUUCGGAAGAACACCAGUGGCGAAGGCGACUUACUGGACACAUAUUGACGCUGAGGUGCGAAAGCGUGGGGAGCAAUCAGG